CGGGUUCACGCCAUUCUCCUGCCUCCGGCUUCCAAGUAGCUGGGAAUACAGGCGCCCGCCACCACGCCCGGCUAAUAUUUUUGUAUUUUUAGUAUAGACAGGGUUUCACCGUGUUAGCCAGGAUGGUCUUGAUCUCCUGACCUCGUGAUCCGCCCGCCUCGGCCUCCGAAAGCGCUGGGAUUACAGGCGUGAGCCACCGCGCCCGGCCAUUGCUUUCUUGCAGCAACUGGGGAUUGUUGGUAACUGAGGUGACUUAACAAUGAAACAAGUCAGAAAUGUCCUGAUAGAGACCAAAGGAAGACAAUAUUUCAGACUCCUCUGCGUCUGUAGCAGCAUGUGUUUCUAGGAUUGUUCUGGAAGAGAAAAUGCAGAAACAGCAGGGAGCAGAAGAUAAACAGGCAAUCCGUGACUCAUUAAAACAAGCAUUGGUCGCCAACAUUGUGGAGUGUGUGAAGACCCCAGAUCCAACUCGCCUAUAAACUUUUUUUUACCAGCUGGACUUAGCAUCUGCCAGAGUUUGGAAAGAGAGAUAAUCUGGUACAAAUGAUUUCAGUGUGUCGCAUUUAUUAACCUGCCACCUUACAUAACUCUGCUGAUUGGGAACUCAGGGAAAUGUUUGAGCAAUGACACAGCUUAUUGUUGGAAUGUUACAACUUUACUAAUAAAGAUGCAAGUUACUGUUUAAAAAAAAAUACAAAGACCACAGAGCAAUUGGAAAAUAAAAAUGAAGCAAAGCUAAAAAGCAUCAUGGUCUUGAGAAAUGUACGUGCCAGAAAAAUAAUUGAAAUUCAGUUUGAAUUUUGAUCAUUUUCAGUGCUUUACAUCAAUUAGGCAGGAAAAGUAUUUUAUUUUUAAAUAGUUGUCACAUUAGUUUGUCUUAACAGCUUUGAUGUAAAUAAAUGCCAAACUGGGAGCAUUAUCAUGUCCUUUCCAAACUACUUACUGUUCUAAAUGAAUGAUUCGCUUCUGUUGUUAAAUCUCUGACAAUUGCUAGAAGGGCAUUUUCACAGUAGAACUGAAGGAAAAGUAAAAUAGUGCCCAUUUUUGUUUAUAUACAAAACCGUGUCCAUUUUUGUCUUAAACAGCCUGCCUGGCUUCACAGUUUAUUAAAGACAAAGAACAUUACCCCAGGAAUAAAAUCAGUACCGAUAACCUGCAUACUUUUCAUUCUUGGGCUUUGAUUUACUUCCUUUUUUGCCUCAAAGUUUGCUUGGGAUCAUUUGGUCAAGAGGUGGAAACACCAAAGAGCAAUUUUCUUUUUUCUAUUUCUUAUCCAGAUCUCAUGCCAGUAAUUUCAAAUUAAUGAGGAUGUUUACUCUCUGGUACAAAAUUUGCACAUACUAGCUUAUAAAAUAUGGAUAAGCUGGUUUCCUAUAACAAAAUAUAGCCCUACCAUUUCAAAAAUGAAAACUGCAGAGACUUUGGAAAAAAAUCAGCUGAAGGAAUUCUUCACGUUUCACAAUGGUUAGCCUAUUAUUUGUAGUUUUGAAACUUUAUUGGUCCCCAAUCUAAUCUUUUCUGAGUAUAAAAACAUUAACAUAUGGUUUAACACAGCACAGGGCUGGAAAGUCCAUAUCCCAAAUGCAUAUUGUAUGCAGGGUGACAUUCACACUAAAUACCAUCCCUCAGGGUCUGUACUCCAUUUUACCUGGGAUUGGAGAGCCAUGAAAUCCCUGGAAAAGUUGUUCAUGAGUCUGAACCAAAUGGUGUGCAGUGUACUGAGAUACUAACAGUCUAUGCUUCUGCCAAAGGUUGCGGCUCAAAUGUCUCUCUAAGUAACAUUAAAAAUCUGCUGCUUCAUGCCUAUGAAUUUCAAUAUUUAUAGCAUUCAAUAAAACGGUCCACUGUCAGAGAGAGAUGUGCCACUGUGCACUCUCUGAGCAGAUGGGCGGCAAUAUGGCACAUUUACAUGGACCAGCUGUGGAGCGCAGAAAUGGAUGCUGGUCAGGGGCAAGGUGCAGGCCCCACAUCUGGAAUUCUAACCGACUGGCCUCGGUACCCAUUGUAAACUUUCCUUCCACAGGGUGAGCUCUGAUUUAGAGCUGCUCACUAGUGUGCCUUAAACUGCAUCAAGAGUCCUCAUUAACGCAAGAGACUAGAGGGAGGUUAGGGCCUGGAAUCCCUCUGUCGGGCAUCUGUUAGAGUCUGUGGAUGGCACUCUGUAGUCGUUAUAGAUGCACCCAGGGGAAGAUUCUCUCAGGCAUGAUGCAGUGUUCUCUAUUUAACUGAUUUUAUACCCCCAAAAAAGAGGUUUUUAUUAUAAACAGAGCUACUUUUUCCAUAUCCCCUUUUCUAAAUGGAUCAGAAUAUACCUCAGAGAAAGGACAAUUUCUAGAAUAUUUAAAAAUUUCGUAGAAAUGUCGAAUUCUUUUUUCAAGUCUCAAAUGGAACGUUGUCUUAUUUUGGGUAGAAUCAGAAUGGUUCAAAUGCAGUUAGAAGUUUCUAAAAUAUAUGAAAUUCUUAGACUAGCUGUUUUCAUUGUAGUAUCACUAUUCAGACAAUCAAAACAGCUUAGUUGUGUGUCAUUUAAAUAAUUCAACUGACUUGAUAGAAAGGUAAGCUGCUUUUGACAUUUUAAAUAUGAACAAGAAAUGGUUUGUUACAUUCAAAUACUCAUCAGAAAUAACAUUCCUGUUUCAUUUUCAAUAAAUACUUUUAAGAGAAAGUUCUACUCAUUCUUUCAUUUUGUAAAAUAAUCUUUCCCACAUUUUCCAAUUAUUGACUAAGAUGUAUUUGGUCUUCAGUGGUCCCAUCUCUUGAAUAGUUGUUUAUAUCCUUACGUUACUGAGUAUUCAUUUUCUAUGACAAUCUCUCAAGAUCUAUUCCAGUCUCCUUUCACCCCCAAGAGAAACGCAGGUAUUUUAAGCAAGUGAGACAAUACAACUCGUUAUCAAAUGGGUUAUGGUAACUCAAUCAUGUAAUGUAUGGAUAUUUUAGGGUCUCAUCAUUCAACACUCAACUUUAAAACUACUCUGAAAUCUAAACAUAGAUAUGUAUUUAUGCUAUUUGGCCUCAAUCUUCAAAAAGGAAAAUUUUGGCCAGGCGCGUUGGCUCACGCCUGUAAUUCCAGCACUUUGAGAGGCCGAGGGGGGCAGAUCACCUGAGGUCAGGAGUUCGAGACCAGCCUGGCCAACACGGAGAAACCCCAUCUCUACCAAAAGUACAAAACUAGCCAGGCGUGGUGGCACGUGCCUGUAAUUCCAGCCACGCAGGAGGCUGAGGCAGGAGAAUAGCUUGAA
rnacentral:lncRNA from 1 species